GACGAACGCUGGCGGCGUGCUUAACACAUGCAAGUCGAACGAAGUGGCGAACGGGUGAGUAAGGCGUAAACAACCUGCCCUUCAGAGGGGGACAACAGUUGGAAACGACUGCUACUACCGCAUACUGAAGGAGGGGCUUGCGUCUGAUUAGCUAGUUGGAGGGGUAACGGCCAACCAAGGAGAUGAUCAGUAGCCGGUCUGAGAGAAUGAACGGCCAAAUUGGGACUGAGACACGGCCCAGACCCCUACGGGAGGCAGGAGUGGGGAAUCUUCCGCAAUGGACGAAAGUCUGACGGAGCAACGCCGCGUGAGUGAUGACGGCCUUCGGGUUGUAAAGCUCUGUUAAUCGGGACGCGGUACCGGAAUAGAAAGCCACGGCUAACUACGUGCCAGCCGCCGCGGUAAUAC
rnacentral:rRNA from 1 species